GCUACAUCCUGCCUGGGAAAUCCUUUCUGGGACAUGUAAGCUGCCCCUAUCAUUCUCUCCUCACCUUUCCCCCACAUCUACGUCAGGUAUCCAAAGGUUCUCCAAUGUGUUGCAAACAAGGCAAAUGGCCUUCAUAUAUAUGUGCUGUAAUGUCCAGGGUGCAGAAAAGGACUUUUCGAUGUUUUAAUUCGACCACUUGAUUACCAUUGAAUAUCCUUGCAGCUUCAAACCCUGACUACAUCCUGCCUGGGAAAUCUUUGUGGGGACAUGUAACCUAGACCUAUGAUUCUCUCCUCACAUUUCGCCCACAUCUAUGUCAGGUAUCCACAGGUUAUCAGGUCUAUCGCAAACUAGGCAAGCAGGGCUUUAUACAUAUGUGCAAUAAUCCCCAGGAUCCAUUAAACCAUUUUUGUCAUCAA